GAAAACCUUUGUUUGUUUACAUUAAUUAUCAUCUUUUAACACACCACCGAGGCGUACUUGGAUUGUGUGCUACGCUUUUUUUGCUAUAAUUGUGCUCUGCGUUUUUCCAAGAUGGCGGCUAUCUUACCACCGAGAAUUCCCCACGAAUAAGGUUUUCUACUGUAUGUACUGUGGUUUCUAAAACCGUAUUGUAGUGCGGAACACUAGGGAUGGAAAGAGCGCGAGCGGAAUCGAUUUUUGACUUUGGAAUUGACUUCUAGUUUUUCGAUUCUGGAAGUCAAUUAAUCAACCCCGAUAGUCGACUUUUGUGACUUAAGUUGACUUUUUAUAAAUUAAGCAACUCGUACACGAAAUUCAUUAGAUAUAUCAAUAUUUUUUUAGUUUUUAACAUAUUAUAAAAAGUAUUUUAGGAUUUCAUUGCAUACAUUUUGGUAUUGGAUAAUAAAAUUGCUUUUUUUUUAAUUAAAAAACAAAAAAUUUAAAAAUAAAUAACUACGAAAACCACAUUUCUUCGCCGAUUGAUCUUAAAAAUAUUAGCUCAUUAAUGUGCUGAGGUGAUAAGCGACUCCUCAACUGAUUUGCGAUAAGUCCUGCAUGUGAAAAUAAUCGCUCACAGGGUACAGACGUUGCAACUAUUGGCAAGUAGUUUUUAGCUACUUUCCAUAGAUACGGAUAUUCAUAUUUCAUACUUUCCCACACAGUGAACGGAUUAGGAUUUUGUUUCCGAUUGACAGCCGGGCGUGUCAAAUAUUGUCGUAAUUGUAUUGGUAAUCCUCCAGCCUCAUCAGAAUCUGCAAGAUUGGAACUACAACUCACAGUGUUAUCAAAAUAAGACCAUAAAUCAUCAUUGUCAUCGUUCGUUUUCUGAGAUUCCGGACCUUGAAUAGCUAAUAUCUCAUCUUGAGGGUUAAUAUUUGCCACCAUUGCUGCCAAUGCUAAUUUUCGUUCUGUCUUGACAAGAUCAGCUACACAAAAAAUUAUAUUAAGUUUAAACUAAACCAUAGAAAUAAUCAAAUAAUGUUUGCAUAAUCAACCUACCGACAUUAGUUACCGCUCGUGCAGAAUCCCGAAUUCUUUGAAAACCAAACUUUUUAUAACGAGGAUCAACCAAUGUUGCACAAGCGUACAGUUUUACGGAUUCAAUAUUGCCGUAUUUUGUUUCGAUGUCUUGAACCAUUCUCUUUUUCAAAUGUCGCCCAAUUAAAGUUUCUGGCGUUAACUCUUCAAUCUUCUGUAAAAUAUAAAAUCAAUUCAUUCAAUAAAAAUUCAAAACAAGAUAAUAUUGCAAUAGCUUUGCUAGUUUAAUAAUGGGAACUUACUUUUCUAAGACUUGAAAUCAAAGGAAUGCACUUGCUCAAUGUUACACAUUUCUCAAAACAAACUUCUUGAGUUAUUUGCAAGAGAGGUUUUAAGAUGUCACGAACUUCUACUAACGCAUCGAUUUCCUCACCUGUGAUCAUGUUAGGUGGCUUAGCUUUCGAAGAUUUGUCCAUCUUCACUUGUAAAAGCACUUUACUGACAUGAUCAGCAAGCACAAUGAAACGGUCAACCAUUUCAAAACAGGAUUCCAUCUCGUUCGCACUUCCUGAAUUAAUUUCAGACGAGAAUUUUCAGGCUUGUCCUUCUGUAAUUUCAGCAGCUCUGUAGUCGCUCUUUCACUUUGUCGAAAGAAUGUGACAAUUUGUUUAACUUUUGACAAUAGCUCACGCAAUGACGAUUGCUCAGUAUGAUCUGUAAUUAAGUCUUCAAGAUUGUCAAUAGCAUCAUUUUCAUCAGCGGGUAAGUCGGAAACUUGAUUUCGAGAUUCAGAUGCAGGUGGAGUAAUAUUAACUUCGAUAAGGCGCUGACCAAUAUUAUUUAUUACAUGUCCAAAACAUGAAAUGUGUUUCCCAUCGCCGAACUCACUUUUAAUAGCUCCUUUGAUGUUUGCGCCCCCGUCUGAAACGAAUGCUGCUAUUUUACUAUCAUCAAGACCCCAGUCAUUGCAUAUAUUUCUUAAUUUCAAGCUCAAAUUUUCUAUUGUUUUCCUCUCUUCCAUGAGAUAAGCGCCCAGCUCAACAGUCUUCAUCUCAGUUUCUG